rnacentral:ncRNA from 1 species
GGGGGUAGAGCACUGUUUCGGCUAGGGGGUCAUCCCGACUUACCAAACCGAUGCAAACUCCGAAUACCAAUGAGUACUAUCCGGGAGACAGACUGCGGGUGCUAACGUCCGUAGUCAAGAGGAAAACAAUCCGCACCGCCAGCUAAGGCCCCAAAAUUAUAGUUAAGUGGGAAACGAUGUGGGAAGGCAUAGACAGCUAGGAGGUUGGCUUAGAAGCAGCCACCCUUUAAAGAAAGCGUAAUAGCUCACUAGUCGAGUCGGCCUGCGCGGAAGAUGUAACGGGGCUAAAACUAUAUGCCGAAGCUGCGGAUGCAUAAUUUAUUAUGCGUGGUAGGGGAGCGUUCUGUAAGCCGAUGAAGGUGGAUUGAGAAGUCUGCUGGAGGUAUCAGAAGUGCGAAUGCUGACGUGAGUAACGACAAUGCGAGUGAAAAACUCGCACGCUGAAAGACCAAGGGUUCCAGUCCAACGUUAAUCGGGGCUGGGUGAGUCGACCCCUAAGGCGAGGCCGAGAGGCGUAGUCGAUGGGAAAUUGGUUAAUAUUCCAAUACUUCUGUGUAAUGCGAUGAGAGGACGGAGAAGGUUAAGUCAGCCUGGCGUUGGUUGUCCAGGUGGAAGGUUGUAGGCAUGUAUCUUAGGCAAAUCCGGGGUACUCUAUGCUGAGAACUGAUAGCAAGCUGUACUUGUACAGUGAAGUGGCUGAUACCAUGCUUCCAGGAAAAGUCUCUAAGCUUCAGUUACACAGGAAUCGUACCCGAAACCGACACAGGUGGUCAGGUCGAGUAGACNANNNCGCUNG